UGAAGUCGGACGCCCAGCUGACAGAGCCACCUAGGCGCCUCUACUUGGUUUUAUUUUGAUGUUUGGUGUGAAGUAGGUGUUCAGUUUUUUCCUUGUAUGACUAAUCUCCUCCUCCACUGAUCUCUAGUGUUACCUCUUACAAGUUUAUAUAGCACACAAGUCUAUUUCUGGGCUCUCUGUUCUGUUCUGUCAGUCAGUGGUUUAUCAUUGUAUCUGUACUGUAUCUAAAGCUUUAGUAAUAAAAUUAUGUAGUUGGGCAGUAUCCCUUUUUCCCCAUUCUUCUCCAGAAUGGUCUUAGCUGUUCUUGGCUCUCUGCCUUUCUCUUGCAGUUUUAGAAUUAGUUUGUCAAACUCCACAGUUGAAGUUUUGAUUGGAAAUGUAGGUUGUUUUGCCCAAAUUUAGUGUGAUUCUUGCUAUUGUGUAGUUAUUGAAAAUUCAGAGAAGCUUAAAUGAUAAGAAUUCACCAAGGUUUUCGACAUAAUAUAAAAUAUUUAAAACACCAAUUACUUAGUUGUUUCACACUUACUAAACUCAUUAUUUAGAAUGUUUCUGGACAGAAGGCAGUGAUACUGGAUGGUAUCAAAUAUUUCUUCUGCAUUGCUCCAAACAUGUAUGAAUUGUUAUAUGAAUAAAUAAUGAAAGAUUUGCUAAAGGCAGAUAAUUCUUAGUUAAUAACCAACGCCAUAUAAUAUACUGAUUGAGGACUUGCCCAGGUGAGAUUUGGUCAUGAGAAUUAGGAGAAUUCAGUGGUGAGUCAGGGUGCAUGGGAGGAGUUGGUAAAGGGGCUCACAUUCAGAUGCUGAGAGGUGAUGGACAGUUUUCUUGUCUCCUAAGACUCCAGAAAUAGAUGCUGUGAAUCAUUGUCCAAAGCCAGGUAAGCAACAAGAUUAAAAAAAUCUCAAAAUGGAUAUCUCUUUGUGUUCCCAUUAAUUGUAGUUAUACAGUGUGAACAUAAGAUAUGAUCCUGUCAAAUAGCUGAGAUACAACUGUUGAGUGGACACAAAAGUCUCUGAGAUUCAUAAGCACUUUACAUGUGCACUCAUGCAAAUUCAUUAUUAUUCUGUAAAAAAAUUUAUUUGAAUAGUGAGUUCUGGAUUUAAAAAGUACAAGUUGUAACAAAUAUUCAGGCAGCAAAAAUUCAAGUGAACUUAUGGAUGCAUAGAUUUAAUUGGGGUGAGUUGACAUCUUUGCAAUAUUUUGUCUUCUAUACAACACCAUGAUUUUAUUUCUCCAUUCAAAUAGUUUUAUAAUUUCUUUAUAAAUGUAUACAGAUAAAUAAGGAAUGCUAUUGAUGUUUAUAUAUUGCUUUCAUUAACUUAUCUGUAGAUUCUUGGGUGUUGUACAUGCAUAGUCAUGUCUUGUCUUCUGGAAAUAAUGAAAUUUUGUCUUAUCCUUUUGUUUGAUUUUUUUUUUUUUUUUUUUUUUUUUUUUUUUUUUUUUGGUGCUGUGUCAGCUAUUAACCUGGACAUUGUUAAUAGAAGUGAUUAAGAAAAACAAGAAACAGAAGUUUUCUAUAGUAGUGUCAUAUAAUUAUUGCUUACUUGCUUGCUUGCUUGUAUAACCUUGGACAAAUCACUUCUGUGUACCACAGUUUUCUCAACUGUAUAAUGGUGAUAAUAGUCUCUAUCUCAUGGUAAAUAGUAAAGAUAGAAUAAGUAAUAUGUAAAACACUUAAAACCAUACCUCACAUAUAGUACAAGUGCUAUGUGUUGGCUAUUUUUGUAAUUAUAAAUCCUUGUUUGCUAAGAGAUUUUUUGUUUUGAAAUCAUGAACAGAUAUUGAAAUCUUAUUUCUAUAACUCAUAUUUGGCAGUCUCAUUGGAUUUUGUUAGGACAUUAAUUAAUAUUUGUUGAGCUUAGUAGAGUGUCAGACUUAAACUAUGACUAGAAUUUAAUUUGGCUUUUUAAGGCUUGGCAUAUUUAUUGGUACUUCCCGUUUUACGUUUUUCUCUGAAUUGCCUUUUAGAAGCUCUGUUUGACUUUACGUCCUAUCCAUCCAAACAUAUAGGCUUAUUGCAAUCAUUAAAGAAUCUGUUAUCUACUGCCAGGGAAAUAUGUUUUUACACUUAGUGCAACUUCUUAGUGGAAGUAGAUUACUUUGUAUUUUGGUAUUUUACUAACAGAUCAGUGGUCUGUUUAUAACUCUGAGAGUAGGGGAAUAGUUACUAGGUGAAGAAGCAGUUUGGGGGAAUUUACCAAAACAAGAAAUUUUGUUUUGGGGGUUUUGUUUUGAAAAUUCACUUAUGCUGAAAAAGUCUGUGUAGGAGCAAACUUUAUAUAGAGUUAUUUGUAUACAGCUGGGACUGAAUUUAUGGACUGCUUUUCUGACUUGCUAAAAAGCUAAAGAUUGACAAGCCCUUUCAUACUGCAUUAUCCAGCUUGGCUUUUAACUCCGAGAGAACUGUGUUCACAAAUUGAUGCUCUAUUCCUUUGGGGUUGGUAUAGAAGCAUUAAAUUGUACUAAAAUAUUCAUAUGUGAGUGCAUUUAGCUGAAAGCAAUUGAUGUUCUAUUCCCAAGAGGGCAAAGAGAAAUGCUGUAUGGACCUGCAGUCCAGAAAACACCCUAAGCAUGCUUCUUAAAGGUAAUUACGUGGCCAGGAUGAUCAGAGUCCUUACAGUGAAGCUUAAAAUGACAAAGGAGAAGUUGUAGAAUUUAUAAACUGAGGUUAAUAUGUAUAAAUUGUUCAGUUGUGCAACAGUUAAAAACUUAAUUGGUAAAAAUUAGUUCUAAUUACAUCUUUGAGUUCAAAUUAUAGCUUUGAUUUAUUUUCUUAGCUUAUUUUCUGAUUUUUAUUAGACUGAUUUCUUUAAACAUUUAUUCUCAAAGACCAAGAUCAGUGAAGUUUUUUAUUCAUUACUAUUUUAUAUAUGAGGUUGAAAUUUUUAACUUUUGGAGAGUCUUGAGCUCUUUUUACAUGUAUAACUGUUUAAAAGCAUGCCACUGUUAUGAUAAACUGACAUGUCUUGUAGGCAGUCAAUCUAAUUUAACAACUGGCAUGAAAAUCAAUUAGAGUAGACAGAUCUUUGUUGCUUUGUUGUAGCUAUCUUUGUGUGCUAACUUGGAAAGAAGAAAACUAUUCUAAAUUUCUAUUUUUAUUCUAAUUGUAUUUUUGGUUCUCUCAUGUAAAAGCUAAUUUAUUUUCUCAUGUAUAGUUUCAGAUGUGAUAAACAUGCACACAAAUGUCAGAGAACAUAAGACAUUGUAAAUUAAAUAAAAUGGAGAAUUGAUCAUU